CCCCAGACUCCUACGGGAGGCAGCAGUGGGGAAUACUGCACAAUGGGGGAAACCCUGAUGCAGCGACGCCGCGUGAGCGAUGAAGUAUUUCGGUAUGUAAAGCUCUAUCAGCAGGGAAGAAGAUGACGGUACCUGACUAAGAAGCCCCGGCUAACUACGUGCCAGCAGCCGCGGUAAUACGUAGGGGGCAAGCGUUAUCCGGAUUUACUGGGUGUAAAGGGAGCGUAGACGGCGAUGCAAGCCAGAUGUGAAAGCCCGGGGCUCAACCCCGGGACUGCAUUUGGAACUGUGUGGCUGGAGUGUCGGAGAGGCAGGCGGAAUUCCUAGUGUAGCGGUGAAAUGCGUAGAUAUUAGGAGGAACACCAGUGGCGAAGGCGGCCUGCUGGACGAUGACUGACGUUGAGGCUCGAAAGCGUGGGGAGCAAACAGGAUUAGAUACCCGAGUA
rnacentral:rRNA from 1 species